UAGGGAAUAUUGGGCAAUGGGCGAGAGCCUGACCCAGCCAUGCCGCGUGGAGGAAGACGGCCCUCUGGGUUGUAAACUCCUUUUAUCGGGGAAGAACGGCACUCUUGCGAGGGUGUGUGACGGUACUCGAGGAAUAAGCACCGGCUAACUCCGUGCCAGCAGCCGCGGUAAUACGGAGGGUGCAAGCGUUGUCCGGAUUUAUUGGGUUUAAAGGGUGCGUAGGUGGUCUGAUAAGUCUGGUUUGAAAGUUGGUCGCUUAACGAUCAAGGGUGGCUGGAUACUGUUGGACUUGAAUGGGGUGGCGGUAGCCGGAAUGGGUUGUGUAGCGGUGAAAUGCAUAGAGAUGACCCGGAACACCGAUUGCGAAGGCAGGCUACUACGCCUUAAUUGACACUGAGGC
rnacentral:rRNA from 1 species